AUUUCCGCCCAGCGCUUUCUGUGGCUAGGGGAGUCAGGGGUUUCCUUUUCCCUUAUUCGGGCUCUUAUGUUACCCCCGUUUUCCGUUGAACCCUUUUCUCCCCUCUUGCCCUCCAAAAAAGCAGUCUGCUGCCGCUCCCGACUUUUCUCGCUGAGACACCGUCAGCUCACUCCGAGCCCAGCACAGCGGCCAUCUUCGGAAAACAAAAUAAAUAAUGUCUAUUUGAUAAAUCGAGAAACAGAAGCAUUACUUAGAAAUCUGAGUUACCUCUAAAAUAAUGACUGGCAUUUGAAGUUGAGGAUGGGUCUUGAGUUCCUGUGAUUUUAAGCUCUUGGAUAUGAGGGUUGGGUGAGUUCCUCUUUUUCUCUUUUAAAAUAUAUGUAUGUUUAACUUUGCUAAAUAAAAUUUAAAAGAUGCAAUGUAUCUCAGUGCAAUUUUUAAAAAUUUAUUUUCAUCCAGGUUACUCUACCCUUUCCCUUUGUCAUUCAGCAGGCAGAACAAGGAAAAAUUAAACUUCUAACUGAAAGGAACUUUGAAUAGCAAUCAAUAUCAAAUUAGAGACAAAAUAUAAAUAUUGCUCAAUAUAAAAUGAGGGUUUUUCUUAAUUGAGGGGACAGAAAUACAGCUUCUCAGUUAUCAUAAAUUGCAUCUUUUUUGGGGAGGGCCUUUUUGGCUUGCAUCCAUUACCAAUUAUAUAUCUUUCACUA
rnacentral:lncRNA from 1 species